CCUAUAUACAUACCCACACACAGGCACACACGCCUAUAUGCACACACAUGUAUAAGGAGGUUCAGGGCUUUCAUGACUGUUCACGGUGCAAGAAUUCGUAUCGCUCUUGGUUCAACGGGCCCGGAGCUUAGAGACACCCCCGCGGUCUGACUUUGACAUUUUCACGGCGUUUCUAAAGAGAUUUUUCUACCGCGACGAAAAGGUUUCUAUCUGCUGAGCUCCCAGAGACGAGAGCGUAGUCGAACUCCCGUUUAGUACGAUGCCUCGGAGAAGUUGCCUCGCAUAAAGAGGCGUUUCGGCGCGGGGAGAAGCGGAUUGAAGCCGGGUGCGGGUGCCAGGGGCGAUCGAUGCACGGGACGCCCUUUGCACCAGCUUAAAGAUCCAGCCGAUCCCCGAGAGAAAUCGGUUUCCCGGAACGGUCGGUGACCGGAGGGACGUUGGCGCGGAGGUUGGGGGAGAUGCGCAGGCGGGGGGCGGCGGCAGGACCCUUCUUUUCGACAAAUCAUCCGUCACCCAUUCGGGUGUGAAGGAAAAGUUUCCGGACGCGGAGUCGCCGCGGGGGUCUUGCUCAUUGACUAGCGAGAGAUGUCCGGCCCGGCGGCCGUCGCGCGUCUUUCCAGGAAAUGUCAUGGAAGUUGAACUUUUUUUGGCGUUUGAAGAUGAGAUCCGAAACGGAAUUCCCGUAUCCAUCCGUAACUUUUGUUCGCAGGCCCGUUCUUGGGGUUUUGGUUUUUUUGGGGGGUGUCCUUUUGGGUUCUUUUCGUUGUCGUUGGAUUAUAUCAGUCGAAGACCGCAGGAAACAAUAGGCGGUUCACGCUUCACGCUAAACCCUUGGUUUAAACUUUUUACCAUCAUGUUUCCACCCUGGGGCCGAGUGCGGGAUUCUAGAUUAUCCAAGUGCCUUUGGUAACGGCGGCAGCGAGACUGGAUGGCGCAGGAGCCAGCGAUGCCGUAGCCAAUCAUCACUGCAAUACCCGAAGGGUCUCUGGUUGUAGUGCUUUCUGUACCACUAGAUUUAAAGACUUUAAUUCCGCCGUGGAAAAAAAAUCCGUUCCGGGCUGAAACUUGGCACAUGAGAGCUCCUCAGUACUGAGGCUUAACUCUGCUUGGCAGCUUCGUACGGAGUGUAAGGAAAAGAGUUGCGUUUUUGACUGUUGUAUUCCUAGAACUCCAAUGGCUUAGCUUUUUUUUAAAAAAAGGUCCUCGAUCCGCCCGCCCCGAGCGAACUAAUUCGGAUGAACUCGCGACUUGUCAAAACAGAUUGCCGGGUGAUUUGGGCUCUUCCUAAAUAACGUGAAAUAAAUUUCGGUCUUCUCACCAAACCUGUGCCAUUGUGGUUAAAGGGAAGACGGUGGUUUGGGGGGGUGUUGAGGGGGGUUUUUGUUCCCAAGCGCUCAGUACAGUGCUCUGCACAUAGUAAGCGCUCAAUAAAUACGAUUGAUUGAUUGAUUGAUUUUUGCCAAGUUGCGAAGCGAUCUAAAGAUUUCCAUGCCCCAUCGGGUAUCCAGUAGUGUUGACUCUGGGGUUUGGGGGUGGGGAAGAUUGUUUCGUGGAGAGUGUGGUCUUUCGUGACAUGGCCCCAUCUUGUGACACAGUGGCCUUUAUGGCGGGGGUGCACACUCUAGCCCCCGGUCUAAAAGUCUUGGGGUUUGGGGUGGUUUUCUUGGGCUUUCCCUCACCUUCCUCCCCUACUCUCCUUUCUCUCAUUUGGCACAAAUGGAGUGGAAGGGGAGGGAAGACCCUCCUCCCUGGCCAUAUCGCAAAGUCUUGCCUCCGAGUGUCCAGAGACCCUAGCCAUAGGCAUCCCCCCUCACGUCCGGGGGUUCUUAAUAACGAUAUUGGUUAAGCGCUUACUAGGUGCCAGGCACUGUUCUAAGCGCUUAGCGUUCCCGUCUCCCUGUCCACCAUCGCCCUCCACCUCCCUCCCCCGCCCCGAUUAAAACCUGUAGACUGAUGAUUGUCGAGGGCGGACUUUGGCGGUGGGUAGCUCGGAGUGUUGCCGUUGUGGUGCGUGUCGAUUUCCGUCCGGUCGGACCCACCUUAACUGAUGCUGGUGGCCAGGAUGUGCAAAUGAGAGGACUAUUUUUCCCGAAAAGCUAGGAGAAGAGGGACACGUUUAAAAUUUGGGGGUACGGAAAGGCUGGCGGAUGUGUAUCUCAAGAUCUGCGAACUCACUGUCAAUUUUUUUCUUUUAAGUGAAUGUGGCCACGGCAGUCUUUAAAUUGGGUGGUUCUUUCAUGGAGAUAUAUAAGAUAUUUGCUUUAGAUUGGUGUGUUUAAAGCCUUUUCUAUAGACUGUUAUGUCUUAAGUGCAUUAGAAAGCAAUUGUUCGUGAUGGAACUGAAGUGUUGCCUUGGACGGCUCUAUUUGAUGUGCAUAUGAUCAAGGUUUACAAUCUGGAUGUAUCUUGCUCUUUAACUUAUUGACUGUAAAUAAAUUUUAGAAAA